rnacentral:rRNA from 2 species
UUGUUUGUUAAGUCUGGUGUGAAAACUUGGGGCUCAACCCCAAAUUGCAUUGGAUACUGGCAAACUAGAAUUGUGUAGAGGUUAGCGGAAUUCCUUGUGAAGCGGUGGAAUGCGUAGAUAUAAGGAAGAACAUCAACAUGGCGAAGGCAGCUAACUGGACACAUAUUGACACUGAGAGACGAAAGCGUGGGGAGCAAACAGGAUUAGAUACCCUGGUAGUCCACGCCGUAAACGAUGAUGAUUAGCUGAUGGGGAACUCAUCGGCGCAGCUAACGCAUUAAAUCAUCCGCCUGAGUAGUAUGCUCGCAAGAGUGAAACUUAAAGGAAUUGACGGGGAUCCGCACAAGCGGUGGAGCAUGUGGUUUAAUUUGAAGAUACGCGUAGAACCUUACCCACUCUUGACAUCUUCUGCAAAGCUAUAGAGAUAUAGUGGAGGUUAACAGAAUGACAGAUGGUGCAUGGUUGUCGUCAGCUCGUGUCGUGAGAUGUUCGGUUAAGUCCUGCAACGAGCGCAACCCUUGUCCUUAGUUAAACGUUCUAGGGAGACUGCCCGGGUAACCGGGAGGAAGGUGGGGACGACGUCAAAUCAUCAUGCCUCUUACGAGUGGGGCAACACACGUGCUACAAUGGAUGGUACAAAGAGACGCAAUACGGCGACGUGGAGCAAAUCUCAAAAAACCAUUCUCAGUUCGGAUUGUAGUCUGCAACUCGACUACAUGAAGUCGGAAUCGCUAGUAAUCGUAGAUCAGCUACGCUACGGUGAAUACGUUCUCGGGUCUUGUACACACCGCCCCGUCACACCAUGGGGAGCUGGUAAUGCCC